GUGGGGAAUAUUGGACAAUGGGCGAAAGCCUGAUCCAGCCAUGCCGCGUGUGUGAAGAAGGUCUUCGGAUUGUAAAGCACUUUAAGUUGGGAGGAAGGGUUGUAGAUUAAUACUCUGCAAUUUUGACGUUACCGACAGAAUAAGCACCGGCUAACUUCGUGCCAGCAGCCGCGGUAAUACGAAGGGUGCAAGCGUUAAUCGGAAUUACUGGGCGUAAAGCGCGCGUAGGUGGUUCGUUAAGUUGGAUGUGAAAGCCCCGGGCUCAACCUGGGAACUGCAUCCAAAACUGGCGAGCUAGAGUACGGUAGAGGGUGGUGGAAUUUCCUGUGUAGCGGUGAAAUGCGUAGAUAUAGGAAGGAACACCAGUGGCGAAGGCGACCGCCUGGACUGAUACUGACACUGAGGUGCGAAAGCGUGGGGAGCAAACAGGAUUAGAAACCCGGGUAGUCC
rnacentral:rRNA from 1 species